GGGGUUGUAGCUCAGUGGUAGAGCACUUGCCUUGCAUGCAUGAGGUCCUGGGUUCAAUCCUCAGAACCACA
rnacentral:tRNA from 1 species